rnacentral:rRNA from 1 species
AAUCAACGCUGGCGGUGUGCCUCAGACAUGCAAGUCGAACGCGAAAGUUCCCUUCGGGGGAUGAGUAGAGUGGCGCACGGGUGAGUAACACGUAGGUAAUCUACCUUUGGAUGGGGAAUAACAACCGGAAACGGUUGCUAAUACCGCAUAAUGCAGCGGCACCUAAACUGGUGGACAGUUGUUAAAGGACGGGGGAGUCGAAAGACCUCGCGUCUGAAGAGGAGCCUGCGGCGGAUUAGCUAGUUGGUAAGGUAACGGCUUACCAAGGCGACGAUCCGUAGCCGGCCUGAGAGGGCGGUCGGGCCACACUGACACUGACAUACGGGUCAGACUCCUACGGGAGGCAGCA